rnacentral:lncRNA from 1 species
AUGGACCAGCCGUGGCUUCGCGCUCAAGCGUUAUUCGAGCGCUGACGUACUGACACGCCCCGUGGCACUCCGGCUUAUCUUUCGCACUAUCGCCGACGGAUGUCUUCAUGGCGGACGUGCUCCCGGCAUUGGAUCGAGAGCGCCAACUGUCUUCACACACCCCUUGGACCACAACGGCAG